AAAGGAAAGCGGGGUCGGCGUUAUCUAUCUUGUGAAAGCAAAGAAAGAGAGCAGUACUAUUUGUUUUGUGCGAAUACGUGGGGGUCGUAUACAAUGUGGGUGAUAGAUGCGCUAACUUGCGCCUUUGCGUAAUUGUUGGGUGCAAUUUCUUCCUUCUUCGAUUCGUGACUCGCAGACCAGUCUGGUUAUGGCUAACGACACUUUCCUUUUUUUUCUAUUAUUUUUUCCUUUAAGUUUGGGUUGGUGCCAAGUUCAAACUUUCCUGUAUGAUUUUCUGAGCAGAGAGGAUUUUGGAAGGUUUGAUUCCAAGAAAGUUGGAACUUGUAAGUUUACUGUAACGAUUUUUGUUGUCAGCAGUGACAGAUUUUGGUUGGGUUUUGGAUUUGAUUCUUACUUAUGUUUGAUGGUGCGUCAAAUUUGGUACUUUGGGAAGCUCUGGAAUUAGUUUUUGAUAUAAAGUCUGCAAAAAUUUGAAUUUGGCGGACCACAGGGCACAGGGAUUUAGGAGGAGAGCUUAAUCUUAUUAUUAUUGAUUUAAAUAAUUGUAGUUCCACUAAUUUUGGAUGGGGUUUUUUUUUUUUUCCCCUUUUUGGGUUAUUUUGUGUACUUCAUAGACCCGUGCUCUGUGACGUUUUUCUCUUUGUUUUUCUAGUACUAUUAUGUAAAAACUUCUGCAUAUCAGAGUUAUGGGAUCUUUCAAGACUUCACUGUUUUUUUUUUUUUUCGUUUUGGGUAUAUGAUUCCAUUGAAUUUUGGGUUUCGUGGAUUAAUUGCUCUGAAGACUUUCCUCCAAUGGGUUUGGAUUUUGGUCUCUGAUCGAUAGCAGCACCGCGUGAAGUCGUGGUCGUGAAGUCUUCCACCAUUUCCUUGGAGGGGUAUUUUGGGUAUUAUUCGUAGAUGGAGGUUGGACGCUGCCGAUAUUGUUGCUUCAAGCGAUUUCAUGCUACUAACAUAUGAAUUUCUAGCUUCGCUUUUUUUAUUAAUUAAUAGUAGUAUUAUUCAGUUAUAAUUUCCUGUAAGUUUAAUGGAUAUAAUUCAACAUGGUGUAAUUAAUUUGAUGCAAUGGUUCGUUCCAUCGUCAGGUCGAUGAUGCUUCAUGCAUGAAAUUUCGUUCAUCUGAUCAUAUGGGCGAGUAAGUUACCGGGGUAUGAGGACUUGAUGCAUGGUUUGUGUGAAAAAUCUCUCUGCAAACGAGUGGCCGGAAAAAAGGAUGGAAUAAACGCAGCCCAGUUCGGCAACCGGUGGGUCUGAUCAGAAAUUAUUGAUAAAUUGAACAAAUUUACAUGGUGGGGUGUUCAUGGCAUUUUAUGAAUUGUUUUGGUUUAAUUGGAAAUGACGAUGGUAUAAGAUUUGCGAUUUUCUUGAAUUUUGGCACCAAAUUCUUACAGUUUCGGGUAAGCUUCGUGGUAGAUGGGUGCUUUCACCAUCUGAGUUUCUGAAGUCUCCAAAAUAUCAACAAUCUCUUCAAUUAUGUACCCCAAGUGUUUUUUUAAUCAUUUGGGAAGUGCUGAAAAUUCCCAGAUCUGGUGAAGAUUAAAUUCCUUAGCUGGAUCAUGUGUUGAGUUAGAAACAAAUCUGGUGGAGGUUGCCAGUUGGAUACAUGGGUUUGGAAAUGAUAAACGUAAAUGACGGUCUGUUGAUGGUGUACGAAUCUGUAUUUUGCGUUUUGAAGAGGAAUUUUGGGCCGAUGCGUCUCUGCGACCAAUACCGUCAGCCUGUGCCGAUCACUUGGCUGAUCUUCACAGACCAAAUCCCUGCUCAAAGAGGACAACCAGGACCCAGCUGAGCUGAACAACAGCCAACAAGCAGCAUAUUUAGGAUUAUGAUGCUUCCGGCUCCAGGGCAAGCAAGCAUGCUCUUGGUGGGUAUUUUAUAUUUGGUAGAUCAGGAUAUGGCUCGCUGCUUAGAAAUUAUAGAGGGUGAGGAAAAGCAGGAGUAAGAGGAGGUCGAGAAAGGAAUAACCAAGCUGUAAUAAUUUAGGGAAGAUGGUUGGCCCCUGUAGCUUAAGUUGCUUCUGCUCAAAGUCUUAACUCUUCAGAUUGUAGCUUGUACAUCUAAUUCUAAACAUGGAUCUUCUUGUUUGUC
rnacentral:sRNA from 1 species